rnacentral:lncRNA from 1 species
CAAAGCAUCCAAGAAGCUUAAAAGCUCACCCAAAACUCAUUUGGCACUUCCCGAACACAAACCAAAUAUGCUACUAGCUUGAAAAUGACAUUUUGAACUCAAUAAAAUCGUCGGAAUUUGAAUUUGAGGUCUCCUUGACCCGGUAUCCGAUAAGGCGUCAAGAAACUAACUUUAGGCUCAAAAACUCGAAACGCACUCGGGGCCUCUAAAAAUUCAACCAAGACUCAUUCUAGACUUAGAAUCAUCCCCUGAAACCAACGGCGCCCUCGGAAUUUCAUUUCGAGCACCGG